rnacentral:tmRNA from 1 species
GGGGGUGUUUUGGGAAUCGACUUGAGUGUUGACACCAGGAAAGCGAGCCGAGGACUCCUUUCACUCGUAAAAUACUGGAAACUUAAAAUUAUCUGCAAACGAUAAUAAUUACGCUUUAGCGGCUGCGUAAAGCACCGCUACACUUAAUAAGUAUCUUGUCUGUGGAUGCUUAUAAGUGUCAUAACUAGCAGGCUACUCAUCUUCUGAUGCUUGUAGGGGGAUGGGGAAAUUACAAGCUACUAACUUUAGAUCCUGCUUAUGGGAGCUAAGGUUACGAUUCUAAAGCAUAAGCUACGCUCGUAGAACCCUGAGUGGAGACUUUUAAGGACGGCGGUUCGAAUCCGCCCACCUCCACCA